AUUGAACGCUGGCGGCAGGCUUAACACAUGCAAGUCGAGCGAGCGGCGGACGGGUGAGUAAUGUCUGGGAAACUGCCUGAUGGAGGGGGAUAACUCCUGGAAACGGUAGAUAAUACCGCAUACCAUCAGAUGUGCCCAGAUGGGAUUAGCGAGGAGGUGGGGGAAGGGCUGACCUAGGCGACGCACCCUAGCUGGUCUGAGAGGAUGACCAGCCCCACUGGAACUGAGACACGGGCCAGACUCCGACGGGAGGCAGCAGUGGGGAAUAUUGCACAAGGGGCGCAAGCCGGAUGCAGCCAUGCCGCGUGUGUGAAGAAGGCCUUCGGGUUGUAAAGCACUUGCAGCCAGGAGGCGUUACUCGCAGAAGAAGCACCGGCUAACUCCGUGCCAGCAGCCGAGGUAAUUC
rnacentral:rRNA from 1 species